AAAAGUUUCUUUCACUCCCUAACUAGUUAUCUUUUUCUCUUUUUUUUCAUUAAUGGUUUGAAAGUGAUUCUGGUCCUGGAACGGAAAUCUUUUUCUCUUAUUACAAGUCUUGUGAUAUAUCUCAUAUACGUACAAAUGAAUAUCUUCGAGCAAGGAGUACUCAGUUGAGUGAUUUAAAAUCCAUACCAUUACUACUAAAACUGAAACUUAUAGACAAAGCCCCUCUUUUUGAAGACCCAAGAAAUUCCGGCACGUAGAUAAGACUUUGUGAUACUUUUCAUCCUUUUUUUAAUUGACAUAAACCCAAGUUAUCUAGUAAAAUUAGGAGAUGAUGCACCAGAAAGGGGAAUGGU
rnacentral:tRNA from 1 species